GACGAACGCUGGCGGCGUGCUUAACACAUGCAAGUCGAACGGAAAGGCCCUGCUUUUGUUGGGUGCUCGAGUGGCGAACGGGUGAGUAACACGUGAGUAACCUGCCCUUGACUUUGGGAUAACUUCAGGAAACUGGGGCUAAUACCGGAUAGGAGCUCCUGCUGCAUGGUGGGGGUUGGAAAGUGUCGGCGGUUGGGGAUGGACUCGCGGCUUAUCAGCUUGUUGGUGGGGUAGUGGCUUACCAAGGCUUUGACGGGUAGGCGGCCUGAGAGGGUGACCGGCCACAUUGGGACUGAGAGACGGCCCAGACGCCUACGGGAGGCAGCAGUGGGGAAUAUUGCACAAUGGGCGGAAGCCUGAUGCAGCAACGCCGCGUGCGGGAUGACGGCCUUCGGGUUGUAAACCGCUUUCGCCUGUGACGAAGCGUGAGUGACGGUAAUGGGUAAAGAAGCACCGGCUAACUACGUG
rnacentral:rRNA from 1 species